UGGCUCUGGCAACGAUGAAGAACGCAGCGAAACGCGAAAGGUAAUGCGAAUUGCAGAAUCAGUGAGUCAUCGAAUCUUUGAACGCACAUUGCGCCUCUUAGUAUUCUAGGAGGCACGCCUGUCCGAGCGCCAUUACGUCAUCCAAGCAUAGCUUGAUGUUGGAUCGUGCCGUUCUCCGGGACGGCAGGUCUCAAACGUGUCGGCGGCCUCUCGUGGAUCUCCGAGUGUAUCCAGAUUUACCAUGAUCACAUCACUUGGCGGAAGCACGGGAGGCGGCCUCAGCCCAAACCUUAUUCUAAAGUUUGGCCUCGGAUCAGGCGGGGAUACCCGCUGA
rnacentral:misc_RNA from 1 species